GACGAACGCUGGCGGCGUGCUUAACACAUGCAAGUCGAACGGAAAGGCCCUGCUUUUGUGGGGUGCUCGAGUGGCGAACGGGUGAGUAACACGUGAGUAACCUGCCCUUGACUUUGGGAUAACUUCAGGAAACUGGGGCUAAUACCGGAUAGGAGCUCCUGCUGCAUGGUGGGGGUUGGAAAGUUUCGGCGGUUGGGGACGGACUCGCGGCUUAUCAGCUUGUUGGUGGGGUAGUGGCCUACCAAGGCUUUGACGGGUAGCCGGCCUGAGAGGGUGACCGGGCACAAUGGGACUAAGGUACGGCCCAGACUCCUACUGGAGGCAGCAGUGGGGAAUAUUGCACAGUGGGCGGAAGCCUGAGACAGCAACGCCGCGUGCGGGAUGACGGCCUUCGGGUGGUGAACCGCUUUCGCCUGUGACGAAGCGUGAGUGACGGUAAUGGGUAAAGAAGCACCGGCUAACUACGUG
rnacentral:rRNA from 1 species